rnacentral:rRNA from 1 species
CCUACGGGAGUCAGCAGUGAGGAAUAUUGGUCAAUGGACGAGAGUCUGAACCAGCCAAGUAGCGUGAAGGAUGACUGCCCUAUGGGUUGUAAACUUCUUUUAUAAAGGAAUAAAACGAGGCACGUGUGCCUUUUUGCAUGUACUUUAUGAAUAAGGAUCGGCUAACUCCGUGCCAGCAGCCGCGGUAAUACGGAGGAUCCGAGCGUUAUCCGGAUUUAUUGGGUUUAAAGGGAGCGUAGAUGGGUUGUUAAGUCAGUUGUGAAAGUUUGCGGCUCAACCGUAAAAUUGCAAUUGAUACUGGCAGUCGUGAGUACAGUUGAGGUAGGCGGAAUUCGUGGUGUAGCGGUGAAAUGCUUAGAUAUCACGAAGAACCCCGAUUGCGAAGGCAGCUUACUAAACUGUGACUGACAUUGAUGCUCGAAAGUGUGGGUAUCAAACAGGAUUAGAUACCCCGGUAGUC